GACGAACGCUGGCGGCGUGCCUAAUACAUGCAAGUCGAACGCUUCUUUCCUCCCGAGUGCUUGCACUCAAUUGGAAAGAGGAGUGGCGGACGGGUGAGUAACACGUGGGUAACCUACCCAUCAGAGGGGGAUAACACUUGGAAACAGGUGCUAAUACCGCAUAACAGUUUAUGCCGCAUGGCAUAAGAGUGAAAGGCGCUUUCGGGUGUCGCUGAUGGAUGGACCCGCGGUGCAUUAGCUAGUUGGUGAGGUAACGGCUCACCAAGGCCACGAUGCAUAGCCGACCUGAGAGGGUGAUCGGCCACACUGGAACUGAGACACGGUCCAGACUCCUACGGGAGGCAGCAGUAGGGAAUCUUCCGCAAUGGGCGAAAGCCUGACGGAGCAACGCCGCGUGAGUGAUGAAGGUCUUCGGAUCGUAAAACUCUGUUAUUAGGGAAGAACAAAUGUGUAAGUAACUAUGCACGUCUUGACGGUACCUAAUCAGAAAGCCACGGCUAACUACGUG
rnacentral:rRNA from 1 species